rnacentral:rRNA from 1 species
GAUGAACGCUAGCGACAGGCCUAACACAUGCAAGUCGAGGGGCAGCACAUGAGUAGCAAUACGAUGGUGGCGACCGGCGCACGGGUGAGUAACACGUAUGCAACCUGCCUGUAAGAGGGGAAUAACCCGGAGAAAUUCGGACUAAUACCGCAUAAUACCACGAGACUGCAUGGUUUUGUGGUUAAACAUUUAUGGCUUACAGAUGGGCAUGCGUAUGAUUAGAUAGUUGGUAGGGUAACGGCCUACCAAGUCUACGAUCAUUAGGGGUUCUGAGAGGAAGGUCCCCCACACUGGUACUGAGACACGGACCAGACUCCUACGGGAGGCAGCAGUGAGGAAUAUUGGUCAAUGGGCGAGAGCCUGAACCAGCCAAGUCGCGUGAAGGAAGAAGGUUCUAUGGAUUGUAAACUUCUUUUGUAAGGGAAUAAAAGAGUUACGUGUAACUUAUUGUAUGUACUUUACGAAUAAGGAUCGGCUAACUCCGUGCCAGCAGCCGCGGUAA